AGGUAUUCAGCAGAACUAACAGGAGACGAUGUGGUCAGGUAUUCAGCAGAACUAACAGGAGACGAUGUGGUCAGGUAUUCAGCAGAACUAACAGGAGACGAUGUGGUCAGGUAUUCAGCAGAACUAACAGGAGACGAUGUGGUCAGGUAUUCAGCAGAACUAACAUGUGGUCAGGUAUUCAGCAGAACUAACAGGAGACUAUGUGGUCAGGUAUUCAGCAGAACUAACAGGAGACGAUGUGGUCAGGUAUUCAGCAGAACUAACAGGAGACGAUGUGGUCAGGUAUUCAGCAGAACUAACAGGAGACGAUGUGGUCAGGUAUUCAGCAGAACUAACAGGAGACGAUGUGGUCAGGUAUUCAGCAGAACUAACAGGAGACGAUGUGGUCAGGUAUUCAGCAGAACUAACAGGAGACGAUGUGGUCAGGUAUUCAGCAGAACUAACAGGAGACGAUGUGGUCAGGUAUUCAGCAGAACUNNNNNNNNNNAGGGUGUUGAGGGCUCUAGAGGGUCAGUGGUGUUCAGGCAGGGUGUUGAGGGCUCUAGAGGGUCAGUCGUGUUCAGGCAGGGUGUUGAGGGCUCUAGAGUGUGAGUACAGUCUGUGCAGGGACAGAGGGGAUUGGGGGGGCUGGCCAUGGAUGGCCAUUGGGGACUGGGGGAGCUGGCUGUGGGGGCUGAACUGGGCAUCAGAGUGCUCUAUCAGAGAGGGGGGGGGCAGCAGGUGGCCGUACCUGGACCCUGCCCUGGGGGCAUCCAGAGGGGGGAAGAAAUACCUGAAACAACAGACAGGAACAGGGAACAGACAGGAAACAAGACAACAAUGGGAUACAAAGAAAUAAACAAAAACAGAGAAAUGAGAGGUGAAUUAAAAUAGGAAAAGGGGGGACGUGAACAGGCUACGGCAGCUGUACAGAACAGGCUACGGCAGCUGUACAGAACUGGCUACGGCAGCUGUACAGAACAGGCUACGGCAGCUGUACAGAACAGAAAAGGGGGAGGGUAAGGAGGUGCAGAAGACACUGUAUUCAGCAGAACUAACAGGAGAUACUGUAUUCAGCAGAAUUAACAGGAGAUACUGUAUUCAGUAGAACUAACAGGAGAUACUGUAUUCAGCAGAACUAACAGGAGACAAUGAAUUCAGCAGAACUAACAGGAGAUACUGUAUUCAGUAGAACUAACAGGAGACAAUGUAUUCAGCAGAACUAACAGGAGAUACUGUAUUCAGUAGAACUAACAGGAGACAAUGUAUUCAGCAGAACUAACAGGAGAUACUGUAUUCAGCAGAACUAACAGGAGAUACUGUAUUCAGCAGAACUAACAGGAGACAAUGUAUUCAGCAGAACUAACAGGAGAUACUGUAUUCAGCAGAACUAACAGGAGACAAUGUAUUCAGCA
rnacentral:lncRNA from 13 species